UAAGAAGUGUUGGCAUCAUCCAAUUUAAGCAAAGUAUGCUCCCUUCUGUUCGAUAACUUGUUGCCAACGAGAAUUCAAACUCAUAAUCGUAGAAGCCUUCCUACCUAUUGGCAAAAAACUGGAACAAACAGUUUUUACACAGGUCUCUACUGUGGCCAAAUUUGUAACCCCAAGCGUGAUGUUCAUAGACAAGAGCAGUCUUCUACAAAUGGUUCAAAACGGUAUUGUGAGCGAUGUUCGGCUCUUGGUUGAUAAUGCCACUGCUAAUAUGAUGGUCUAUCUCGAUCUUACAAUUAUUAUUAUAUUUUUGACAACAGACCUGUAAGUGCGUUUGCGUUUGUAACACCAGAACGAAAUCUAACGAACCAUUGUUGUCCAACACGAACUAAAAAAGUAUCGCCUCCAUAAACAUUGCAAAUUUUGUAGGUGGCUUUCGGGUAGUCAGAUUGUAAAAUUUGGUGAAUUAAUAUCUUUGGAUACCUCCAUACUCGACCCACGAUAAUUCACGACAGAACCGAGCCGGGGCUAUACUGUCUCAACCUUCACAAAGUUUAAUCUAUGAUCUAAUGAGACCAAUAAUGAACAAUAUAUAAUAUAUAAUUAGUUUUUAAAAAAGGCGAGAAAAUACAAAAUUAUAAUUUUA
rnacentral:lncRNA from 1 species